rnacentral:rRNA from 1 species
CAUCCUCCAAGGCUAAAUACUCCUGACUGACCGAUAGUGAACCAGUACCGUGAGGGAAAGGCGAAAAGAACCCCGGCGAGGGGAGUGAAAAAGAACCUGAAACCGUGUACGUACAAGCAGUGGGAGCCCCACCACCAAAGCAUUUGCUGUACCGUGUUGACGGAGCGAAGCGACGUCAAACCGAUAAAACAGCAGUGUAAAGUGAGCCGCAGGGCGCUUUGCGCGACAGCGCAAAGGCAGGCGGUUUCGCGUAGCGAAAGCGAAUGCUUUGGGGUGGGGUGACUGCGUACCUUUUGUAUAAUGGGUCAGCGACUUAUAUUCUGUAGCAAGGUUAACCGAAUAGGGGAGCCGGAGGGAAACCGAGUCUUAACCGGGCGUUAAGUUGCAGGGUAUAGACCCGAAACCCGGUGAUCUAGCCAUGGGCAGGUUGAAGGUUGGGUAACACUAACUGGAGGACCGAACCGACUAAUGUUGAAAAAUUAGCGGAUGACCUGUGGCUGGGGGUGAAAGGCCAAUCAAACCGGGAGAUAGCUGGUUCUCCCCGAAAGCUAUUUAGGUAGCGCCUCGUGAAUUCAUCUCCGGGGGUAGAGCACUGUUUCGGCUAGGGGGCCAUCCCGGCUUACCAACCCGAUGCAAACUGCGAAUACCGGAGAAUGUUAUCACGGGAGACACACGGCGGGUGCUAACGUCCGUCGUGAAGAGGGAAACAACCCAGACCGCCAGCUAAGGUCCCAAAGUCAUGGUUAAGUGGGAAACGAUGUGGGAAGGCCCAGACAGCCAGGAUGUUGGCUUAGAAGCAGCCAUCAUUUAAAGAAAGCGUAAUAGCUCACUGGUCGAGUCGGCCUGCGCGGAAGAUGUAACGGGGCUAAACCAUGCACCGAAGCUGCGGCAGCGA